rnacentral:lncRNA from 1 species
GAGAAGAAGAAUGAGUGAGUAAUCAGAGGUCCAAGGAAACCCUAAAGAAAUACUGAUUUGGGGGAAGCGAGCUAUGUUCAGAUUAGUGCUGGCUCAGGGGUAGAGUGCUUGCCUAGGUUUCAUUCCCAGUGCUGAAAAAACAAACAGGAAACAACAAAGAAACACAGAUUAAAUCAGAUGAGGCCCGAACAGAGGUCUUGGGCCCCGCAAAUGGGUCAGAAGAGAUUUUUGAGGGCCCAGGUUCACCCGAGGUCCAGAUCACAGUAGGAUGAAGAGUGAACGGGAACUGGAGGGAGAGCCCUGCUAGUUGGGCAUCUUGUCAGGGAAAGGUCUGGACCCAGGUGGGGAGAGUAGCUUGGGUUCAGGAAAGAACUUUUUGGUUUAUUUCAUAGCCUGGGGAAGAUGUCAGAAUGUUCAGGUUAAAGAGAAACAGUUGGGAAGACAAAGACACAGAAGACAAGAACAAAAUGGGGUAGCCAGGCAUGGUGGUUCAUGCCUGUCAUCCUGGCACUUGGGAGGCUGAGGCAGGAGGAUCUCAAGUUCAAGGCUGCCUCAGCAAUUUAGCGAGGCCCUGUCUCAAAAUAAAACAUAAAAAGGGCUGGAGACGUGGCUCAGUGGUUAAGCACCCCUGGGUUUAAUCCCUGGUACCAAAAUAGAAAGAAGGAAAAAAGGGGUGGGGGUUGCUGGAUAACACAAGGACUUAGGGGGUAUAGGAUCCAGAGAACCGGUGGACUUUUAUAGUGGACAGAAGAAAUACCUCAAGUGAAGAGAUGGCAAGAAUUUCCCUCCUCUAACCUGGCCAGGAAGGGUGGGGAGGUUGGGUGACUAACAAGCACAGGGGAGUUGGUGCUGGGUCACACCCUCUGCCAAGUGCUUGAGAUUCGUGUAUUGUCUAAUGCUGAACAAAGACUUUAGAGGUACGUGUUUGGUCCCAUUUUGCAGAGGGAGCUGAAGCUUAGUGGUUUGUCAGUAAAUGCCUAGUAGCUGACUCUCCGCACACAAUAUGCACUUACACAUGCGUGUAAGUGUAUUAUUAAUUUUAUAAACAAUAUACAGCACAAAAUUCACAAACAAUGGAUACACACUGCUUUUAUUGUCAAUUGGGCACAGCCUAUUAAUUCUCAGAGAAUGCAGUCCUUGAUUUUUGCUGGACUCUUGUAUUUAUAGCUAUUUUGUGGUUGCAAUGCACAAGAGAAUAUAGUUCCAAUAUGAAUGUUGGUUGAUAUUUUAAGUAAAUUUGUAAGAAAACAAAUAAAAGGAUAUAUUUUGAAGCUUCAUUCCUUAAUGAAUGGAAUAUUAGAAGAAUAUUCUCUCAAAUUUUCAGAGCUGUUUGUCAUGUAAAGGCAACAGACUCCACAAACUUCCAAGUUUCAUGGGCACUUUAAACGUGAUUUUCCAUUGCUUUAAAACAAGAUUGUAUAGACAGUCAACGAAACAAUAAACCAAGCCCAAAGAUGUAGCUUCAGUGGCUCUCUAUGGUGUCGACAGUCACACCGCAGUUGCUUUCAAGGGAGAUUCACGGUAACAAUGAUACAUCACCAUCAGUAUUUCCAUCCUAUGGAUACCAGGCUAGGGAUGUAGCUCAGCGGUGGAGGGCUUGCCUAGCAGGUGCGAGGCUGUGGGUUUGAUCCCCAGCACUGAAACAAAAACAAAACAAAACAAAACAACAUCACAGAGGUAUAGAAGAAAUAGGUAACCAAAGGCAUAGAUAAUAGUAAAAUGUAAAAAUGUAAGCAGGACAUGGCAACUUUUUUGGGCUCAAUUCUCAAUUAUAUAUAUAUAUAUAUAUAUAUAUAUAUAUAUAUAUAUAUAACUUUUGCUUUUAGUAUGAUUAUAGUCUCAAAUAAUUUAAUUUUUUAUAAUAGCUGUAUUUAAUACCCAACUCACAAAAUUUACGAGAAUUGAAACACCAUUGGUGUUUGAGCAGGUACAGCCAGCUCCAGAGUGGGCCCCUGGACUCAGGGACAUAAAGGGAACAGCCCAGGGUCUGGCCUUCCCGUCCUUCCUAAGCACAGGGGGAGGCGAAAGGAGAAUAAAGAGAGUGGGAAAGGGGGUGACUGCUAAGGGGAAAGAGAUGAGGGAGGAGGGCUGAGCCCUACUGAUGACCCAGCCUGAAUAGGAAAGCUGGUGUCCCAGUGGGCCCAGGCACUACCUUUGUGAGGCCUCUUAAAAAAAAAAAAAAAAGCUGGGCACAUUGGUGCACACCUGUACACACCUGUAAUCCCAACAGCAGGUGGGGGAAUCACAAGUUUGAGGCCAGCCUGUGCAACUUAGUGAGAUCUUGUAUCAAAAUAAAAAGGGCUGGGGAUGUAGCUCAGUGAUAGAGCACCCCCAGUUCCAUCCCCAGUACUGCCAAUAAAUAAAUGAAUAAAAUUAUGUAUCUUACAUAUUUCUGUGGUCAAGACACCUUAAAGUUAAAGACACACAAAAGGCGGGGAGAAAGUAACUAAAAAUAUAACAAGAGUUAAUACCUAACAGAGAACUGCACAUAGGAAAAAAAAAAAAAAAAAACCCAGCUGGAAAAUGGGUAAAGUAUACAAGUAGUCAAUUCACCAAAGAGGAAAUAAAAGGUGCCAGGUUUUUUUUUUUUUUGCCUAUCAGAUUGGCAAGAGGGAAGAAUGUUAAUAAUAAUCUUGGCAAAGUUGUGGGGAAAUGAGCACCUCUGGUCCGUGAUGGUGGGGUGUGAGUAGGAAUAGCUACUUUUGAGAGCAGUUUAAUAGUCUUUAUUAAAAUAAUGUACACACCCAAUGUGUUGUUAAGGAAUUUUACCAAAUGGAUGAGACACGGUGGCGGGUAAUCAGUUCUAGGAUAAAGGAUUUUUAGAUGGAUUUAUCUGAUAUGUUUUUGAAGACAAAUUGUUAGGUUUAAAAAACCCAAAUGGGGGGCUGGGGAUGUGGCUCAAGUGGUAGCGCGCUCCCCUGGCAGGCAUGAGGCACUGGGUUCGAUCCUCAGCACCACAUAAAAAUAAAAUAUUGUGUCCACCUUAAAAAUAAUAAUAAUGUGUAUGUGUAGUUUCACCAAACAGCCUUAAAAAAAAAAAUGGUGCCGCUUUCUACUCCCAUCCCUGACAAAAACAUGUUAAUAUUUGUAAGUAAAUUUAGAAUGACUGAUUUAGAGAAAACUCAGACUACAAUGGCAACAAUAAAAACUGAAGUCUUUGGAGGAAUCUGUAUGGUAAGGGCUUCCCUUUGCCACAAUAGAUGGACAGAUGGACGCAGUACCAACCAGAACCCAGCAAGGGGGCCUUUGCUUCUGCCUUUUCCCCUAGAAGGUUACAAUAUUAUUGUGAAAUUCAAGGAAUGUAAAAGUGGGUAAGGGCUGAGGGUGUGGGUAAGGGCUGGGGGUGUGGCUGAGGGGUAGAAUGCCUGCUGAACAUGUCCAAGGUUCCCAGCAGCAACACACGCACACACAGAGUGAAUAGUUAGCAGGGAUGUUAAACAGUAUCCUGAAAAAGAAGAGAGCAACCUGAGUGGAUAGAAGUCAACUUAGAGGAGGAGCCGUCUGUGCUGGCUCAUGGUUGCGGGCUGCAUGGCUUGGACCUGUGGUGAGCCAGAGCACAGUGGCCGGGUGUGUGGUGGAGCACAACUGUCGGCCACGGCAGCCAGGAAGAGAGAAAGACAGGGGCCAGGGACAAGGUGUGGUCCCCCACGGCGUGCACCCAAGGACCCAUGUCCUCCAACUAGGUUCACCCGCUGCAGUCCCACCACCUCCCAAUAAUCCAUUCAGCGGUGAGUCCCGGGAGCCAGCCCUCAUGUCCAGUCACUCUGAGCAUUGCUGCCCCGGGGAAGAAGUCUUCAACACACGAAACCCUGGGGGACAUUUCAGAUCCAGCCAUAACAGCCAGCAGCGUGUGCGCCACAGCAGGGGACUCCUGAGGCCCACAGGCAGGCGUGUCCGCCAGGCUCCUGCCCUCCACGGCCCUGCAGCUGCUGGCUGGGCGCACCGCGGUCCCUCCCCACACCUAACUGUCCCUGUGUGCCGUUUCUCUGCAGGCCCAGGCCUUGUCCUCUGCCAGCAAGUUUGAAGCCGAGUUAAAAGCUGAGCAAGAUGAGCGGAAGCAGGAGGAGGAGAAGAGAAGGCUCCGCCAGGCAGCCUUCCUGGAACUCAAGGCUGCUUUCAGCGCAUAGUCCAGCAGACCCUGACCUCCGCCCACAGCGGUGCCUCCACGGUGCCAGGAGGGAUGGCCCAGCAUCUUUACCCCUGCAGGCCCCUCCCAGCCUCCUGCCUGGCCUCAGGCCUCUCCUCAGCCUCACUUGGGUGGCAAGGGGCUGCCGCCCCCCCACUGUCCUGCCCCUGCAAGAGGGUCAUGGGAUGGCCAAGUCCCCCUUGCUCACCUCUCUGCCCUCCCCUGAAGCCGGGUUCAGCCUUCCCCUUCCCUUGCUCCACGCCAGUGAGUAGCCUGUUGUGCUCAUUUGUAUAGAAAUUCUUUCUUUUGUGGUCCUCAGAGGACAUGUUAGCUCGCCAUUUUCUUGGGAAAUCCUUCUCUCCUCCCAUUUCUGUUGUCUGUCUUGGUCAGAUUCUGCCAGUUGCUUUUGUGUGGCCUUCUGUAGUGGUGGCAGGAUCCAAGGAGGCCAGGUGGACCACUGCCCACCCGCUCUCCAGCACGGGGAGCUGCAGCAGGAGAGGACUCAGCAUAAAGACCGGGAGCACUGGCCUGCAGCACCCCCCUGGCCCUCCCUCUUCAUUCCCCUCCUCCGUGUCUCCCUCCUUCUGUCUUCCACACCUAAGUGCCUGCUACUCACCUGUGAGAAGGAAGCCAUCACUAGAAGUACUGCUAAUGAGUAGAGGGGUUCCAGGUCAACUCUAACUCUGCAGAUCAUAUUACAGUGGACCCCUCAGGUUCCCACGAGGUCGGGGACUCAACCAGUGCCUUUUGAAAUCCCCAAAGUCAUGGCCAUCCUCUCCAUCGAGCCAAUUUCCAACAUCUGCUUCAAGGUAUUGAGGUAAAUAUGUUCUUACCCCUAUGAUAGAUUUUUAUAUUUGUGAGUUCUUGGGAUUGCUCACACGGACCAGGGUCUUGUUGUAUUUUUAAAAAGAAUAUUUCCUAUUGUCAUAUUUAUUACUUCACUUUUGCAACUUCUCUCUUUAGGGUAAAGAAACCAUCUGCAUUUCUACCUUAAAGCUCUUUCUUUUUAAAUAAACUGUGCAAAUGAACUUGGCCAUCACAACAAUGUACCUGAGUCU